rnacentral:rRNA from 1 species
GGAAAAGAAACCAACAGGGAUUGCCCUAGUAACGGCGAGUGAAGCGGCAACAGCUCAAAUUUGAAAUCUGGCUCCCUUGGGGGUCCGAGUUGUAAUUUGUAGAGGGUGCUUUGGUAUUAGCUGUGGUCUAAGACCCUUGGAACAGGGCGUCACAGAGGGUGAGAAUCCCGUAUGUGGCCAGCAGCUCUUGCCUUGUAAAGCCCCUUCGACGAGUCGAGUUGUUUGGGAAUGCAGCUCUAAAUGGGAGGUAAAUUUCUUCUAAAGCUAAAUACUGGCCAGAGACCGAUAGCGCACAAGUAGAGUGAUCGAAAGAUGAAAAGCACUUUGGAAAGAGAGUCAAAAAGCACGUGAAAUUGUUGAAAGGGAAGCGCUUGCAGCCAGACUUGCCCGUAGUUGUUCAUCCAGGCUCUUGCCUGGUGCACUCUUCUGCGGGCAGGCCAGCAUCAGUCCAGGCGGUCGGAUAAAGGCCUUGGGAAUGUGGCUCCUUUCGGGGAGUGUUAUAGCCCAGGGUGCCAUGCGGCCAGCCUGAACUGAGGUCCGCGCUUCUGCUAGGAUGCUGGCGUAAUGGCUGUAAGCGGCCCGUCUUGAAACACGGACCAAGGAGUCUAACAUCUAUGCGAGUGUUUGGGUGUCAAGCCCGAGCGCGCAAUGAAAGUGAACGGAGGUGGGAACCCCUUGGGGUGCACCAUCGACCGAUCCUGAUGUCUUCGGAUGGAUUUGAGUAAGAGCAUAGCUGUUGGGACCCGAAAGAUGGUGAACUAUGCCUGAAUAGGGUGAAGCCAGAGGAAACUCUGGUGGAGGCUCGCAGCGGUUCUGACGUGCAAAUCGAUCGUCAAAUUUGGGCAUAGGGGCGAAAG